CCUACGGGUGGCAGCAGUGAGGAAUAUUGGUCAAUGGACGAGAGUCUGAACCAGCCAAGUAGCGUGAAGGAUGACUGCCCUAUGGGUUGUAAACUUCUUUUAUAUGGGAAUAAAAUGUUCCACGUGUGGGAUUUUGUAUGUACCAUAUGAAUAAGGAUCGGCUAACUCCGUGCCAGCAGCCGCGGUAAUACGGAGGAUCCGAGCGUUAUCCGGAUUUAUUGGGUUUAAAGGGAGCGUAGGUGGAUUGGUAAGUCAGUUGUGAAAGUUUGCGGCUCAACCGUAAAAUUGCAGUUGAAACUGGCAGUCUGGAGUACAGUAGAGGUGGGCGGAAUUCGUGGUGUAGCGGUGAAAUGCUUAGAUAGCACGAAGAACUCCGAUUGCGAAGGCAGCUCACUGGACUGCAACUGACACUGAGGCUCGAAAGUGUGGGUAUCAAACAGGAUUAGAUACCCGAGUAGUC
rnacentral:rRNA from 1 species